rnacentral:rRNA from 1 species
GACGAACGCUGGCGGCGUGCUUAACACAUGCAAGUCGAACGGAAAGGCCCUGCUUUUGUGGGGUGCUCGAGUGGCGAACGGGUGAGUAACACGUGAGUAACCUGCCCUUGACUUUGGGAUAACUUCAGGAAACUGGGGCUAAUACCGGAUAGGAGCUCCUGCUGCAUGGUGGGGGUUGGAAAGUUUCGGCGGUUGGGGAUGGACUCGCGGCUUAUCAGCUUGUUGGUGGGGUAGUGGCUUACCAAGGCUUUGACGGGUAGCCGGCCUGAGAGGGUGACCGGCCACAUGGGGACUGAGAGACGGCCCAGACUCCUACGGGAGGCAGCAGUGGGGAAUAUUGCACAAUGGGCGGAAGCGUGAGGCAGCAACGCCGCGUGCGGGAUGACGGCCUUCGGGUUGUAAACCGCUUUCGCCUGUGACGAAGCGUGAGUGACGGUAAUGGGUAAAGAAGCACCGGCUAACUACGUG